rnacentral:rRNA from 1 species
UACCUGGUUGAUCCUGCCAGUAGUCAUAUGCUUGUCCCAAAGAUUAAGCCAUGCAUGUCUCAGUACAGGCCUACCCAGGGCGAAACCGCAAAUGGCUCAUUAAAUCAGUCAUGAUUCAUUGGAUGUUGUACCAACCCUUACUUGGAUAACUGUGGUAAUUUUAGAGCUAAUACAUGCAAUUGAGCUCCGACCCUGCUGUAACAGGCGGGGGAAGGGCGCUUUUAUUAGAUCAUAAACCGAUCGGACUUCGGUCCGUCUCCCAUAAAGAGCUGUGAUGACUCUGAAUAACUUAGCCGAGCGCUGCGGUCUCCGUACCGGCGCCGUAUCUUUCAAGUAUCUGCCUUAUCAGCUGUCGAUUGUAGGUUAUACGCCUACAAUGGCUGUAACGGGUAACGGGGAAUCAGGGUUCGAUUCCGGAGAGGGAGCCUGAGAAACGGCUACCACAUCUAAGGAAGGCAGCAGGCACGCAAAUUACCCACUCCCGGCACGGGAGGUAGUGACGAAAAAUAACGAUGCGGGACUCUUCCGAGGCCUCGCAAUCGGAAUGAGUCUACUCUAAAUCCUUGGACGAGGAUCCAUUGGAGGGCAAGUCUGGUGCCAGCAGCCGCGGUAAUUCCAGCUCCAUAGCGUAUAUUAAAGGUGCUGCGGUUAAAAAGCUCGUAGUUGGAUUUCUGAUUCGGACCGGCGCCCCAUCCAAGGUACGCCCUCGUCGAUCGGGUGCGGGGCUUCCCGGGUUCGUACCGUCCCGUUGGCUCGGUUGCGUAUUUGUCCCCCUCGUCGAGGUGCGAAAAAGGCAUCUUCUCUUAUUUCCCUUUUAAAGCGGGUCGGGCUAAAUAGAGCGUAGCGCGGGGCUGAAAGGUGUAUUCGCUUUCGGAAUCACGCCGGCGGGUUUACGCCACCCGCGUUCGCGCGAGUGGUAUCGCUCGUUCGGUGCCGUUUUCGCGUUUCCCUUCGCUAAAGGCUCCCGUUACAUCACUCUCCGAUUCGCCGGGGGAUCUAACCGUUGCUUCUUUUCAAUCCAUUCAAAUCGGCGAGGUGUGUCUGCGUUUCUCGUAGCUCGGGGUUAAAAGCGGUCGGAUCGCGGAGGUCUCGUCUCGGGCGAGUUAAGCGUGCCCGGUGGUUCACUGUCCGGCACCGAAUUGAGAAAGCCGUCGGCUUUCACGGGGUGCUCUUCACCGAGUGUCUCGCGUGGCCGAUACGUUCACUUUGAAAAAAUUAGAGUGCUCAGAGCAGGCAACAACUAACGCCUGAAUGGUGGUGCAUGGAAUGAUGGAACAGGACCUCGGUUCUGUCCUUUUGCUCGGUUUUCUGAACCCGAGGUAAUGAUUAACGGGAACAGACGGGGGCAUUAGUAUUGCGACGCUAGAGGUGAAAUUCUUGGACCGUCGCAAGACUAACUACUGCGAAAGCAUUUGCCAAGAAUUUUUUUCAUUUAAUCAAGAACGAAAGUUAGAGGAUCGAAGGCGAGUCAGAUACCGCCCUAGUUCUACCAUAAAACGAUGCUAACUGGCGAUCCGCUUACGUCAUUCCCACGACUGAGCGGGAAGCCCCCGGAAACCAAAGUCUUGAGUUCCGGGGGAAGUAUGGUUGCAAAGCUGAAACUUAAAGGAAUUGACGGAAGGGCACCACCAGGAGUGGACCUGCGGCUUAAUUUGACUCAACACGGGGAACCUCACCAGGCCCGGACACCGGAAGGAUUGACAGAUUGAGAGCUCUUUCUCGAUUCGGCUGGGUGGUGGUGCAUGGCCGUUCUUAGUUGGUGGAGCGAUCUGUCUGGUUGAUUCCGAUAACGAACGAGACUCUACCCUACUAACUAGUCGGCGGAUCGUCUCCCGAGACGGGCCCUUGCUAGGUUGUCAUCGGCGUUCACUUCUUUCGUAUACCCCCGGGAGGUCCGUUUUUCGCUUCGCUUUCGGGUGGGGCGUGGGCGGUCUUUCGGACCAGGUUGCGAGGAAGCGUCGUUGCACCUAGCUUAGGGCCCAGCGAGGGGCGNCCGUCGCAACAUCUUCUUAGAGGGAUCGGCGGCGUCCAGCCGCACGAGAAAGAGCAAUAACAGGUCUGUGAUGCCCUUAGAUGUUCUGGGCCGCACGCGCGCUACAAUGAAGGGAUCAGCGUGCUCUCCCCCUCCGAAAGGAGCGGGUAACCCGUUGAAACCCCUUCCCGAUUGGGAUUGGGGCUUGUAAAUAUUUCCCAUGAACGAGGAAUUCCCAGUAAGCGCAAGUCAUCAGCUUGCGUUGAUUACGUCCCUGCCCUUUGUACACACCGCCCGUCGCUACUACCGAUUGAAUGAUUCAGUGAGGGCAUCGGACUGGCGCCCUCGGUAGCCUUCGGCUCGCAUAAAAAGCUUCGUUUCGGCGAGGUGCGACCGCGGGCACCCCGGGCUGACGGAAAGAUGUCCGAACUUGAUCAUUUAGAGGAAGUAAAAGUCGUAACAAGGUUUCCGUAGGUGAACCUGCGGAAGGAUCAUUA